rnacentral:rRNA from 1 species
GCAAGUCGAACGGAGUAGCAAUACUUAGUGGCAGACGGGUGAGUAACAUGUGGGUAUCUUCCCUUUGGUGAGGAAUAACACGAGGAAACUUGUGCUAAUACCUCAUAAGUCUUUACGGAGAAAGCUUUAUGCGCCAUUGGAUGAGCCCGCACUUGAUUAGUUUGUUGGUGGGGUGAAAGCCUACCAAGACUAUGAUCAAUAGCUGAUUUGAGAGGAUGAUCAGCCACAUUGGGACUGAGACACGGCCCAAACUCCCACGGGAGGCAGCAGUAGGGAAUCUUGCACAAUGGAGGAAACUCUGAUGCAGCGAUGCCGCGUGAGUGAAGAAGGCCUUUGGGUUGUAAUGCUCUUUCGUCGGGGAAGAAAAUGACUGUACCCGAAUAAGAAGGUCCGGCUAACUUCGUGCCAGCAGCCGCGGUAAUACGAAGGGACCUAGCGUAGUUCGGAAUUACUGGGCUUAAAGAGUUCGUAGGUGGUUAAAAAAGUUGGUGGUGAAAGCCCAGAGUUUAACUCUGGAACUGCCAUCAAAACUUUUUAGCUAGAGUAUGAUAGAGGAAAGCAGAAUUUCUAGUGUAGAGGUGAAAUUCGUAGAUAUUAGAAAGAAUACCAAUUGCGAAGGCAGCUUUCUGGAUCAUCACUGACACUGAUGAACGAAAGCA